CAGAGGGUGCGAGCGUUAAUCGGAUUUACUGGGCGUAAAGCGUGCGUAGGCGGCUUCUUAAGUCGGAUGUGAAAUCCCUGAGCUUAACUUAGGAAUUGCAUUCGAUACUGGGAAGCUAGAGUAUGGGAGAGGAUGGUAGAAUUCCAGGUGUAGCGGUGAAAUGCGUAGAGAUCUGGAGGAAUACCGAUGGCGAAGGCAGCCAUCUGGCCUAAUACUAACGCUGAGGUACGAAAGCAUGGGGAGCAAACAGGAUU
rnacentral:rRNA from 1 species